rnacentral:rRNA from 1 species
AGAAUCAACGCUGGCGGCGCGCUUAACACAUGCAAGUCGCACGAGAAAGCCGGAGCAAUCUGGUGAGUAAAGUGGCGCACGGGUGAGUAACACGUGGAUCAUCUACCUUCUAGUGGGGAAUAACCCUGGGAAACCGGGGCUAAUACCGCAUAAGCUCGAAAGAGGAAAGCGUUGUCCCUUAAAAGACGACGCGCUGGACGAGGAGUCCGCGGCCGAUUAGCUAGUUGGCAGGGUAACAGCCUACCAAGGCUUUGAUCGGUAGCCGGCCUGAGAGGGCACACGGCCACACUGGCACUGAAACACGGGCCAGACUCCUACGGGAGGCAGCAGUGGGGAAUCUUGCACAAUGGGGGCAACCCUGAUGCAGCGACGCCGCGUGAGUGAUGAAGCCCUUCGGGGUGUAAAGCUCUUUCGGCAGGAACGAAUAUUGACGGUACCUGCAGAAGAAGCUGCGGCUAACUACGUGCCAGCAGCCGCGGU